GUCUCUUCGGAGAUACACGAGUGGCGCACGGGUGCGUAACGCGUAUGCAACCUACCUUUAACUGGGAAAUAGCCCCGAGAAAUCGGGAUUAAUGUCCCAUAUUAUUCUUUGAAUACCUAUUCGAGGAAUGAAAGCUCCGGCGGUUAUUGAUGGGCAUGCGUGACAUUAGCUAGUUGGUGAGGUAACGGCUCACCAAGGCUACGAUGUCUAGGGGUCCUGAGAGGGUUAACCCCCACACUGGUACUGAGACACGGACCAGACUCCUACGGGAGGCAGCAGUAAGGAAUAUUGGGCAAUGGACGCAAGUCUGACCCAGCCAUGCCGCGUGAAGGAUGAAUGUCCUAUGGAUUGUAAACUUCUUUUAUGCAGGAAAAAUAUCCCGGUCGUGAACCGGGACUGAUGGUACUGUAUGAAUAAGCAUCGGCUAACUCCGUGCCAGCAGCCGCGGUAAUACGGAGGAUGCGAGCGUUAUCCGGAUUCAUUGGGUUUAAAGGGUGCGCAGGCGGAAUAAUAAGUCAGUGGUGAAAUCUCCCGGCUCAACCGGGAAACUGCCAUUGAUACUGUUGUUCUUGAGUACAGUUGAAGUGGGCGGAAUGUGUCAUGUAGCGGUGAAAUGCUUAGAUAUGACACAGAACACCGAUAGCGAAGGCAGCUCACUAAGCUGUAACUGACGCUCAUGCACGAAAGCGUGGGGAUCAAACAGGAUUAGAUACC
rnacentral:rRNA from 1 species